CCUAGCCCUUCAGAGGGGGACAACAGUUGGAAACGACUGCUAAUACCGCAUACGAUCUGACCUCGGCAUCGAGGAUAGAUGAAAGGUGGCCUCUAUUUAUAAGCUAUCACUGAAGGAGGGGAUUGCGUCUGAUUAGCUAGUUGGAGGGGUAACGGCCCACCAAGGCGAUGAUCAGUAGCCGGUCUGAGAGGAUGAACGGCCACAUUGGGACUGGGACACGGCCCAG
rnacentral:rRNA from 1 species